rnacentral:sRNA from 1 species
GCCAGGCGUGGUGAUGCAUGCCUAUAGUCCCAGCUGCUUGGGAGGCUGAGGUGGGAGGAUCAUUUGAGCCCAGGAGUUCGAGGCUGCAGUGAGCCAUGAUCGUGCCACUGCACUCCAGCCUGGGCAACAGAAUGAGACUCCGUCUCCA